rnacentral:rRNA from 1 species
UACGGAGGGUGCAAGCGUUAAUCGGAAUUACUGGGCGUAAAGCGCACGCAGGUGGCUGAGUCAGUCGAUUGUGAAAGCCCUGGGCUUAACCUGGGAAUUGCAGUCGAUACUACUCAGCUAGAGUAUGGGAGAGGGUAGUGGAAUUCCCGGUGUAGCGGUGAAAUGCGUAGAUAUCGGGAGGAACAUCAGUGGCGAAGGCGGCUACCUGGCCCAAUACUGAC